UACGUGCCAUUCAAAGAAUUUUACAAACGAUGGCGAGGACCGAGGAACUUCACGUCAUUUCAACAGUCCAAGUACACCACCUUCUGAAAGAAAUGGCACUUCAUCAACUUGUCAAGAGGUUGUUUCUGACAGCACAUCCGGUGUGAUCAUGGCUUCCGGGAAGAGGAUUGGCUGAAGUCCUCACUCCACCAUUCGAUGUGUCCUGCCGCCCCACGCCGAUCACUUUCUGAAGGCGCAUCCUUUCAGCAAUCUGAGGACCCAAGAUUCUCUCUUUCAGGUCACACAGUGGAUGUGAGCUCCAGGUGGGCAGGGACCACGUCGGGUCAUACUCACUG